rnacentral:lncRNA from 1 species
UUCGUUGUUGAUUUCUGUCUUGUUAGAGGUUAGCGUGUUUUUUUUAUUCUUGUUUCAAUUUGGAUUCGAGUAGAAGUAUUGUUGAGCUUUUCAGAAUCAAGUUCAUAACGAUAAGUUGAGGCACGUUGGUCGAUUGUUAGUUCGCAGGAAGCGUAUAUCAGGUGUGUGUUCUGAAAUUGUUUAACUUCGGUAUCGAAUUACUAUUGGAUUCUAUAGAAUUUGGAAAUUUCUUGUGUGUUUUAGAAAU